rnacentral:lncRNA from 1 species
GGAAAACGAGGAGGGGGCCGCGGUGCUUAUAAGGACGCGCUCGGCUGUGAAAAUGGAAGGCCGGAGGAGCGGAUCCCGGUGAUGGCGGGCGGCGGUCACGCGCGGGGAAGGCGGCGCGAUUUCGGGCGCUUGCCCGAGGUAGGGGACGACCCCGACAGGUGGGCCCCACCUGUCGGUGGCUCGGGCGCGCGCGAGCGGGCGGCUGGGCCAGGGGGGCUAUGGCGCGCGCGGGGGAGUUGGGCCGGUUCGGCCCAAUUCGGCCGGGCCGGUCCGUUUACCCCUUUUUUUUUUCUUUUAGACCUUUUCUUUUUCUGUUUUUCCCAUUUCUUUGAUAUCUUUUGAGUUUGAACUCCAAAUUGGUCCAAAUAAAUUCCAGAAAAUUUGUAAAAUCAUGUUCUACCAUGAUACAACUUUUGGAAGUAGUUUCUCUUCAAAAUAAAAUAUAUAAAAAUACAUUUGCCCUAUAAAUGACUUCAGGGCUAUAUAUCUGUUUGAAUAAAAUACUUUUUCAACUCCAAAUAAUUAACCAAAAAUUAUGGGAUAGCUUAUAUAUGCAUUAAACCCUUUUUAUACAUCAACCCUAUUGGUUUGAUAAUCCAAAGGUUACAGGGAUGUAAACAAAAUCUCUUAAAGCCUUUUGUGAUUCAAAAUUUGAAUUCAAACAUGCAAUUGUGGCAUGAUGCUCAUGGAUGCAAUGCCCAUGUAAAGGUUUGAAAUUUUUGGAUGUUACAGCUUGCUGGGCUGCGGGCGUUGCCUUGCAGGGCAGCAG